AGUCACUGACAUUAGAUACCCGCGUAGUCCAGGGUGUAAACGCUGCAGACUUGGUGUUGGGAACCCUUCGGGGGUGCUCAGUGCCGGAGAGAAGUUGUUAAGUCUGCUACUUGGGGAGUACGUCCGCAAGGAUGAAACUUAAAGGAAUUGGCGGGGGAGCACCGCAACGGGAGGAGCGUGCGGUUUAAUUGGAUUCAACACCGUAAACUCACCAGGGAAGACUGUUACAUGAAGGCCGAGAUGAAGACUCUGCUAGAUUUUCAG
rnacentral:rRNA from 1 species